UUGGUUCAGAACGAACGCUGGCGGCAGGCUUAACACAUGCAAGUCGAGCGCCCCGCAAGGGGAGCGGCAGACGGGUGAGUAACGCGUGGGAACGUACCAUUUGCUACGGAAUAACUCAGGGAAACUUGUGCUAAUACCGUAUGAGCCCUUCGGGGGAAAGAUUUAUCGGCAAAUGAUCGGCCCGCGUUGGAUUAGCUAGUUGGUGGGGUAAAGGCCUACCAAGGCGACGAUCCAUAGCUGGUCUGAGAGGAUGAUCAGCCACACUGGGACUGAGACACGGCCCAGACUCCUACGGGAGGCAGCAGUGGGGAAUAUUGGACAAUGGGCGCAAGCCUGAUCCAGCCAUGCCGCGUGAGUGAUGAAGGCCCUAGGGUUGUAAAGCUCUUUCACCGGUGAAGAUAAUGACGGUAACCGGAGAAGAAGCCCCGGCU
rnacentral:rRNA from 1 species